CUUCAGACUUCCCUGCAGUUUUCUCACAGCCCCUAGGAAAAAGAUGAGAAUGCAAAGGUUGGGCUGCAGAGAACAGAUGACUUCCCUAAGAUUGAUGGUCAGUGCGUGGUGACCUGGGACUAGAAGACACAUCACCGUACCCACAGGUGACAGGGAGAAGUAUUUAUCAAGAACACCCAUUCUCUUAGCCCUCAGAAAAUAUCACAAAUGCACCACCACUGAAAGAUCAUCGUCUGCUGCCAAGUGCCCAAUCUGAACACCCAGACUCUAGGUCUUGGUAGGGGAGGGGGUUGUGGGAUGAUCCUCAGACCAGAAUUCUGUAAACUUUCCCAGACUCAGCCAGCGGCAUCACUCUCCUGCAUUAUAUAAUAAAACAAAGCCUCAAGUUCAGAUUUCA
rnacentral:lncRNA from 10 species